rnacentral:rRNA from 1 species
GAAGGCCCUCGGGUUGUAAACUGCUUUUGUACGGAACGAAAAGCCUGGGGCUAAUAUCCCCGGGUCAUGACGGUACCGUAAGAAUAAGCACCGGCUAACUACGUGCCAGCAGCCGCGGUAAUACGUAGGGUGCAAGCGUUAAUCGGAAUUACUGGGCGUAAAGCGUGCGCAGGCGGUUUUGUAAGACAGUGGUGAAAUCCCCGGGCUCAACCUGGGAACUGCCAUUGUGACUGCAAGGCUAGAGUGCGGCAGAGGGGGAUGGAAUUCCGCGUGUAGCAGUGAAAUGCGUAGAUAUGCGGAGGAACACCGAUGGCGAAGGCAAUCCCCUGGGCCUGCACUGACGCUCAUGCACGAAAGCGUGGGGAGCAAACAGGAUUAGAUACCCUGGUAGUCCACGCCCUAAACGAUGUCAACUGGUUGUUGGGUCUUAACUGACUCAGUAACGAAGCUAACGCGUGAAGUUGACCGCCUGGGGAGUACGGCCGCAAG